rnacentral:rRNA from 1 species
GACGAACCGUCCAAACGUUAUUCGGAAUCACUGGGCUUACAGAGUUCGUAGGCGGUCUGGAAAGUUGGGUGUGAAAUCCCUCGGCUCAACCGAGGAACUGCGCUUGAAACUACCAGACUCGAGGGAGAUAGAGGAAAGCGGAACUGAUGGUGGAGCGGUGAAAUGCGUUGAUAUCAUCAGGAACACCGGUGGCGAAGGCGGCUUUCUGGGUCUUACCUGACGCUGAGGAACGAAAGCUAGGGGAGCGAACGGGG